CCCACCAAUCAGCCAUCUGUGGUUUGAGACUCACAAGCUUAGGAGAGACUCGGGAGGCAUCAGUUCCGCAUCCCGCACUCCCACGUGAAUUUGCCCCCGCCCUGAGUCAGAACCCUAGAGGGGUGAAAUCCCUGAAUUCUGCAGAGGAAACCCAUACUUCUUUGCUUUUUCAGCAAUUCCAGGAGAUGUCGUUUUUCAAGUGGCAAAUGUGUGGCUCUAGAGGACAGAGUAACCACCUUGCAGCCAAGAAGCCCUGAUGUCAACUCCCAGCUCUGCUGCAGCACCCAGAAAUCACCGGACCUUUCUGCAUCUUUCUGGGUGACUCUGUCAUGAGGAUUUCAUAAUGUAAUUCCCUAGCACAUAAGAAUUUCUCAACCAAUAUGGCUUUCUUUUUUCCUUCUCACUAGUCUUUGAGCUUCUUAAAGGGAAGACAUGUCCUAUUCAUCUCUACACCCCCCACACCAGUCUGCAUUCAGUAAGUGCUCAAUCAAUGUCUGCUGAAUCACAUCUUCCCACUCAACUGCAUGGCCUCGGAUGAUCCAAUUCUGUGGGACUCAGGGUCUCCCUGAUUCUGAAGAUCUCCAUUUCAGCCACCCCAUCCUGGUGCUUUUUCUGGAGAGACUGGGAAAAAGGUCUUAUUGGCUGUGCAAACUUGAGGGAGUUGCCUAACCACUCUGGGCCCUGUUUUCCUGGCUUUGCCACUCUUCAGCUGUGUGACCCGGGGAAGCUCUCAACCUCUUUGUGCCUCCAUUUCCACAUCUGUAAAAUGGGGAUAUGAAAGUGGCUGCUUUGUGAAGAGUCCUGAGAAUAAAUGAGUUAAGGAAAACUGAUAUGGAUAAAUAUGGAAGAGAGCUGGCCAGUGGAUGAAAUGGUGAUGUAAAGGUUAAGAGAAAUAAAAGCAGGAGACGAGGAGAGAGUCACACCACGGUGAGCAGAGAGUUGAGCUGGGGCCCGGGACAAGCAUCAAAAGUGUCACUUCCUCUGAGGUCCCAACCCUACUUCCAUAGGCUCUGCAGCCCACACCACCUUGGAACCAAACAGGGAGGUGGCAGAACUGAUGGGCUGGCCGCACCACCUUAAAUCUCUUAGCUCCAAAACUGGAGGUGCUCAUCAGGACCCUGCAUCAUUUCUGUGGGUGAUGGAUGGUGUGAGGUAAGGCACAGAGAUCUAGACUUAUUUCUCCUUCCACAACAAUUGUUUCUUGGAAGAGGAAGAAAACUUAGCUGGAUUUUAUCUCUUUGUGUGGAUUUCUGGGGUAGACACCCAGAGGUGUGUGCAGGAGCAUGCUCUUUGGGGCCCACAUAGAGAUUCCAGCAGGUGCUGGAGAUUCUGGGGUAGCCUUUCCAUGACUGCUGGCCUCUUUUCCCCUGUGUUGCUUUGGUUUGCUGUCUGGCUAAAGGCAGGAGUGGGAGAAACUCACAUUCCACAAGAGGCUGCCUGGAGCAGAGGCCAAGAGGGUAAGGUUUGUCCAAGGCCUUCCAUCUCAGCUUUGCUGCCAAUUUGUCAGAAAAAAAAUCAUUUGUGCCAAUUAGACCCUGGUUAGGAAAGUGUUGUCCUGUCUGGGAAGCAGGUACAGAAACCAGUUGCAAGGACAGGAGAUCAAUGAAAGUGACACAUUACUUAUGCCUCCAAUUCUUCUCAGCCCUCAAUUUAGUCUCUGAGACACAGAGAAAAUAAGUGUACUUGCCUUGCUAAUGGGUACAUGGUUGGCUUUGGGCAAUUUAUAUAGAGCACUUUAGUUCCAAGAUGAAAUGCACUGAGAUAUUAGGAUUAGUCUCUGCUUUAAUGAGUUUCUGACUUGCAGGUUUGAAAAAAUUUAGUUCUUUUCUGUAUUUCUCUACAAACACAAAACAAUGAUUUAAUGGUAAAACAACAAUGAAAAGAAACUAGGCCAUUCUCUCCAAAAUGAUUAAAAGGGUACUUCUCCUGACCUGACAUAACCUUUCCUCAUAUGAAUUUAUUAUCUGUAUUCACACUCAUAUUCCACUGGAAUGCCUUGGGUCCAGGUGGAUGGUUGCUUAUGGUUAGUAUCGAUUCUGAGCAGGUAGGCAUUCAUACUGUUUGGUUGACGCCUGUGGUGAACAGACCUUAAGGUGACUUCUUGCACCCCUGAGUCAUUUUCUUGUAUAAUCUCCUCUCUUUGAGGACACAAACUGUGCCCUGCUUCAAACCAGUGGAAUAGAGACAAGGUGAUGAGAUCUUUGGUUAUUGCACCUAACUGCUUCAUUCAUUGCACAAUUAGUCACACGCUGUUUUGUGAUGCAGAACAUUUUUUUUUAAGAGAUGGUAGUCUCACUCUGACACCCAGGUUGGAGUGCAGUGACA
rnacentral:lncRNA from 1 species